rnacentral:lncRNA from 1 species
AGAACAGCAGUCCCACCUAUUACUGUAGGUCAGAACGAGACCAGUAGAGACAGGCACCAGAACACUCCUAGAAUUUAUAAUGCAGAUUACAAGGCCAUCAAACCACAAUGCAGCACCCCAAACCAAGCAAUAUCAGAUCGCAGCGGACCCCGACAGAGAUUUCUCAUCUAGACCAGCCAACACCAGGAAUAAAAUUAAGUAAAAGUUAAACUCAGUUGUCUAAACCCAGACCUAUUCUUUAAUUUUUGGAAUUUGGAAUUAGUAUGGAGUUUACAUUUAAGAAAAUGAAGGAUAUCAGCCACAAGAUUCUGAACAGUGUUAGACUUAUUUCUAAAAAUCCUUGCAUUACGUUCAUUCCAAAUACGGUAUACAACCGCAACAAAACCAAGAUGAAGAAGGCUGUGAUGAAAAUUUGGUUUAGAAUAAUGAAUGAUGUAGUCCAUUAGGGAACUCCAAUUCCUAUUAAAUCCCCUCCACCCACAAUGUCUGAGGACCGAGAGUAGUACUCUAAAAG